UACGUAGGGGGCAAGCGUUAUCCGGAAUUACUGGGCGUAAAGGGUGAGUAGGCGGUUAUGUAAGUCAUAUGUGAAAGCCCGGGGCUUAACCUCGGGAUUGCAUAAGAAACUACAAGACUAGAGUAUGGGAGAGGUAAGCGGAAUUCCUAGUGUAGCGGUGAAAUGCGUAGAUAUUAGGAAGAACACCAGUGGCGAAGGCGGCUUACUGGACCAAGACUGACGCUGAGGCACGAAAGCGUGGGGAGCGAACAGG
rnacentral:rRNA from 1 species